UAGUGCUCACAGCUCUUUUUGAAUUUGUCUAGCAGGUCUUCCAUUUUUUUACCGGAAGGCCCUC